ACCUCUUGAUAUUUAUUGUCCAAAGAAGCUUGGGGCUCUAGUUCAGAAAAAAAGAGAGAAGAGAAAGAAAGAAAAAGUAUCAUGCCCAAGUCUUCCCAAAAGUUUAAAAGAGAGAAGUACCCUUCAAAGAGUAAUAUUAUAACAAGGCUCCCACCAUUUGUUCCCCACUAUUGUUCUUAGCCUCAUCAUUUGAUACACCCCACAUAUCCAUUCCACAUAUAUAGGUCCACACACAUGCACUUUUUAGUCUAAGGGUAUGCUUUUCCCCUCUGAGGAUCCCGGGUUUGAUUAGGCAAUACAUGCAAGGUAAGUAUGCUAUAUCCUUGAACUACCUCUAGCUCCACAUAAGCCUGUUAGUUAUAGGGAGAGAAGAGGGAAGGUACGAUGCUACUCUACCUUAUGCCACAAAUACCACAUAUCUUGAGAGGAGAGAAGGCAAGACAUCAUCAAUGCC
rnacentral:lncRNA from 1 species